rnacentral:rRNA from 1 species
AUGAAGCAGCGAGGGCAGGCGGCGAGCACCAUGGACGUCGCCUCGGGGCUGUUGGACCACUGCAGGCCGUGCUCGUUCUCCGACGACAGGCAUGAGCUCGGGGACGACUCCUCGUCAGCCAUCACCCUGUUGGAGGAGUCCCCUCUUGCAGGCAGCGAGAGGUUCAGCUUCAGGUCAAGGCCCUUUGAUGAGCUCUUCCUGUUGCUGCGGCUCAUCCUCAGAGGUAUCCCCUGCCUGCACACAUCAAAACGUUGA